CUCAGUUUUCUCAUCUGUAAAUUGGAGCCCAUGGAGCUGGUGAUCUCUAAGCUCCCUCUACAGAUUUGGUUUCUCAGGGCAACCUCGAUUCCUAGGCCUCAUCUCAGAGACUGCAAGCAGAUUCUUAGAGAGCUAAAAAUAAAGAAUGUGUUCCCCUCUGUGGAGUAAGGUUGACCCUGAUACCCUCAAGGAAGCAGACAGACAAGCCGUCAUAGUAGAAAGUGCCUAGAAUCCAGUCCUGGCUCUGCCUUCAGCUUGCUGUGUAACCUCAGGCAAAUCUCUCACCCUCUCUGUGUCUCACUCAGUGUGCCAGCUGUAACACGAAGGACUUCUACAACCCCUUCUUGUUCUAAAAUUCUAAGAUUUUGGACUUCCAGCUCCGACCCCUGCCUACCUGGGACAGAGGGGAUGGGAGGUUAGGGGAAGUAUGGAAAUUUCAGGGGAGGAGUCCAGAAUGUCAUUCUUAUACCUCCCCCAGACCCUGACCCACCACAUCCAAAGAGCAACAUCAGCUAGUCCCAAACCAGGGCUGCUGGGUUUGGGGAGCAGCUGCCUCAUCACACACCUCAACACAGUGGCUGGCCCCCAGGCAUCAGACAGUGCACAGACUCAUUACCAUUGUGACUAUGAAGUCACAGUGACAUGGCUUUGAAAUCCAAAUGAAAGAAACACAACAGAGACCCCCUUCCCUGUGGCUCAGCCUGGCACCAGGAUUUAUUGCUUUCAUUUUAAUAGGUUAAUUACUUUGAUAGGUGGCGUUGAUCUGCCCUGAUGGACGGGCAGCACCUGGAAGGCAGGGCUGUGCUGAUUGAUGCCGGGGGCCCACUCCUAUUCAUCCGUUCAACUGGCACCAAGUCAGUGCCUCACUCCACAGACCCAUCAGUGAGAUCUUCAAGAGGGUUAGAAGGUCUAGAUCUCAGGCUUCCCAGCCCAGCCUGCUCAGCACCCCUGGCUUCAUUCACACUGCUGCAGGAAUGGCCACCCCAAAACACAAGUCACAAUAUGUCACUCUCUUCCUCAAAAGUGAUUUCCAUACAUCAUCACUUCUGCAAGACGUGAUCAUAUGGCCUCGAUUCUAAGUCACCACCAAUUGUUAGAGGGCCUUUGAUUAAACAACCAUCUCUCAGGGU
rnacentral:lncRNA from 1 species